UAAUUGAGUAGAAGCGGUUAAGAGUGAAUCUCUGGGACAUUGCUCAAGUG
rnacentral:ncRNA from 1 species